UCGAUUCUCGUUAGUUGCCGCGUAAUAAAACAUAAUUUUCGUGAAUUUUACAUCGACCAAAAGUGUCGCAGCUUCUCGACUAUCCAGUCCGUCCAAACGGACUGCGGCCCUUAAAACAAUUUGGACUGCUCUAGCAAACCAUUUGCUAGAGUGAGAGAGCAUUAAAAAAUGCAAAAUUGGAAUCAAUGGCAAUUGUCAGCUGGUGCUGUUGCCACUCCAAUGCCACAACCACCAGUUGGUUAUGCCACUCCAGGAGCAGAUCCUAUGGCUAUGAUGCAAGCUUACAUGCAGUAUUACAAUCAACCAGCACCUAAUGGGUAUACAGCAGAACAAUGGGCUGCAGCUCAGCAACAAAACUGGGCUCAAUGGCAGCAAUGGCAACAACAAUACCAGCAAUGGCAAGCACAAUAUGGUGAAAAGUAUCAGGAAACCAUGAAGCACAUAUCAGCACAGAACUUGAACUUAUCCAGUCAGGUGCCACAGUUACCGGUUGUGCAACCUCCACCGCCUCUUCCAAAAGAGGAUGCAAAGCCACCAUUACCCCCAACCACAAUGAAUACGUAUCAAUUUACAAGCAUGCCUCCUCCACAUCAAAAUAAUCUUCCAUUAUUUCCUGCUAAACAAAAUGCAAAUACCUCAUUACAGCAAUCAAACGUUCAGAAUUGUCCACAAAAUCCUCCUUUACCUCCAAACCAACCACCAUUACCUCCUGAAAGUAGUAAUAAUAGUAAAGAGAAUAAUAAUUUAAUUGGUAAACGUAGUAGUAAUGCCAUUAGUGAAUCUACUAGUGCUAAAAAAUUGAAAGUUGAAGAUGAAGAACUAACUGAGGCCGAGAAAACAUUUGAUGCUCAGUUUAAACAGUGGGAGGAACAGUUUAAUAAGUGGAAACAGCAAAAUGCUAAUCACCCAGACAAGACCCAAUACAAACAAUACGAAGCGAAAUGGACAUCCUGGCGGGAGAAGCUUAUUGAGCGACGUGAACAGAUGCGUAGGAAACGCGAGCAACAAAAGCAAGCUACCGCUAAGACAGAAGUUGACAAAAAUAAAAGUUUGCCUGGUGACGAUAAAAUAAUGAAUAUACUGUCGAGUACUGAGAAUCAGGGAUUGAUUAAUAAUUUAUUAGGUAUUGGAAAGACUCUCGGUUUAACCGGAAAACAAAACACUAACGUACCUCCUCCGCCACCUCCACCGCCGGCUACUGAAGCUACGGCGUCUAACGUUCAAACAACCAUGACAUCUUCUCAGUCAACUUCAGCACCUCAGUUACCAGCCAUGAAUAUGUCUUCUAACGUGAUGACCUCAUCACCUUGGAAUUCUCAACAGUGGACACCGCAGUACAAUGCAAACGUAUCGAAUUUUCCAAAUUUUCAGUCUGUUAGCGGUGUAUCACAACUACCAUUUGGUGCUCCACCAACGCAAAUGCCUCCACCAAAUUUCACUCAGCCACCACCGAACUUUUCAAGUGUACCAAACUUUUCGCAACCACCGCCUGGAUUUGUCAGUAAUGAUUCCCGACAGGGUCAAAAUGCGCGACCGUCAAUUCCACCGAAUAUGCAAGGAAGACCCCCUCCGUUUGGUCCAAAUAACAAUACUGGUCCAGAUGGCGGUAUGCACAAUGAACGUCCAGGACAAAGCGGACCCAUGAACAAUUUUGACUCGGUGGGUCAUCCAAACAGUUUUAAUAUGAACGAUCCUACUCGAGAAAAGGAUGAACGUUUUACUCGAGAUGGUGAUCAACAGAAUAAUCAGUUUAGAUCCAAUGAUUUAUUCAGUCAACGGGGUGACAAUUAUAAAUUGAACGAUGAACGUAUGUCAGAGACUGAUCAGUUCAGAAGAGAGGACAGAAAUUAUCAAGAUUUCAGUGGUAAUCAGUUCAACCAACAUAAAAUGAAUUACAGUAACGACAGAUUUGGUGGGAAUGAUCGUUUUGGACCAGGCAAUAAUAGAUUUGGUCCAACGAAUGACAGAUUCGGACCUGUAAACGAUCGUUUUGGGUCUGGGGAUAACAGAUUUGCUGCUGCUAAUGAUCGAUUUGGACAAGGAAGCGAAUCUGUUAAUGAUCGGUUUGGAUCGAACAAUGAACCACCGUAUGGACCUGGUGGUGAUAGGUUUAACAGGAAUAACAUGGAUCGUUUUGAUCAAAAGGAUCUAGGAGAAAGGCGCGAUGGCUUCCCAGGUACUCCACGGAACUUUAAUAGAAAUAACCAGUUUGAACCACCGGACAAAUUCGCGCCAGAGUUGAAAAAACUUAUGGAAAAACGAAGGGCUGCGAUAGAUGUAUUUAAACCGAGCUUCCUCGAUUCCGACAAGAAUAGUAGCGUCGGGUCUUUGAGUGAAAGUUUCAAGAAAAUCACCGGUGAGUCUCCGUUUAUGAAAACUUCCACUUCGAACAAUAAUUUUGGGCCUCGUGGGUCUUCCAAUUUUGGGCCAGGUGGAGCCGCUAACUUCCGGAUGCCUGGAGACUUCAAAUCUCCAGGAAACCAAGAUUUCGGAACACGUUGUCCUACGGGAAUCGGACGUAACAAUUCGUUUGAAUCGCGAGACGGUGCUGCUCCAUUCAGAGGACUCGCCACUUCUAGUCCACAGCAAGAUUUCAUGGGCACUGAACCUAGACCAGAAAUACCAAACAUGGGAAUCGACAUGGAAGCGAAUAAAGAGAAUAAAAACGAGUCUGUGAUGGAACAGCCAGUAGCGAGUUCAAUCUUAAACGAACAGACUGUUGACGGUGCCCAGAAGGAUAGCUCCGAAGGUUACGCUGGACAAAGUGAUAUACCAUUGUUAGAAAAACCACCUUGGAUCGAUGCUCAACUUCCUGAAGAUUUGUUGCAAAAGGAUAAAAUUAAACCGGAUGAAAAUUUGUCUGCAAACUACAAUCCUUCAGAACAGGAUGCUCAGACUGCAUUUAACGACUCAAAGGGAAAACAAGAACUAUCCAGCAGCGAUAAUAAGAAAGUUGAGGCCUUGCCUUUUAUGGGAGAGAAUGAUCCAAAACCUGAAGACCUGAACAUGGAGCCACCACCUGAAUUACCAAACUUAGGUCCUGUCUCAGAUAAUGAACUGACUGAUCCUAUACGAGGGACAAACGAGUCUUCCUUGAAAUCGUUUCCAAAUAAUUCAGAAUGCUUUGAUCCUACACUCGGCCCAAGAGGUAUGCCGUUCAGACCAAAUACACCUUUCACUGGCCCUAGAGGCCCCACUGAUAACAGAUUUCCAGUCUUUGAACCUAGAGGUCCAGGUUCGUUUCCAUUUAACCCUCCUGCUCUAAACCAGUACCCGUUAGGUCCUCGAGGAUUCAGUGACGGACAGUUUGGACCAAGAGGUCCUAAUAACGGCCAGUUUGGUCCAAGAGGUCCCACUGAUGGACAGUUUGGACCUCAAGGACCUAACGAUACACAGUUUGGUCCAAGAGGUGUCAAUGAUGGACUAUUUGGACCCAGAGGUCCCAACGACGGUCCAUUUGGGCCUAGAGGUCCUAAUGGAGGACCCUUUGGACCAAGAGGGCCCACUGAGAAUCAGUUCGGACCACGAGGACCUAACAAUGGACCGUUUGGACCCAGAGGUCCUAACACUGGACAAUUUGGACCUAGAUUUGAUGGUCAGUUUGGACUGAGAAGACCCAAUGAUGGACAGUUCGGUCCUAGAGGACCAAUCGAUGGACAACUUGGUCCUCAAGGACCCAACAACCGACCAUUUACUCCUGGUAGACAAAACGAUGCACCUUUUGAUAACUCUGGACAAUUUGCUCCCAGAGGACCAACUGAAACGCACAGAUUUUCCGGACCUAAUGAUAGACUAUUCGGUUCAAGACGCAGCGAUGGACCCUUCCAAAGAAGUCCAAAUGGUUCUAAAGGAGCAAACAAUGGACAAUUUUCUAAUGUGAAUGAUGGAUGUUAUGGACCUCAGAGCUCAAACGAUUCGUACUUUGGGUCCCGAGGUCCAAUGGACGGGCCAAACGAUAUCAGAGGAAUUGGAGAAUUUAGAUCAAAAGGGCCAAUCGAUUACAAUUGCCCUAAACUCCCAGAGAACUCAGAAGCAGGUGGUUCCAACAUUCGUGGCGAUGGAGGAGUGUUUGAAAACACCAAUCAGAUGCGGAUAGAACCACAAGGGCAGUUUGACACGGAUGAUAUGUCAAAUCCAGGCUGGAGGCAAUCAUACCCCAAGAACAGCUUUGGUGACACUGACCAAAGGUCUUCACGAGAUUUCGAUUUUGUUAAUAAAUCUGGGCCAGGUCAGAAUGAAACGUUUAAUCAAGAUACCAUGAAUAAUGUUGAACGACGGUCGCAACUAGAUGCAAUCAAAUCUAACAUACCUGAAAGAUCAGAGAAGAGUAUGGCUGACUUAACUGUAGGAGAUUACAAAGCUGAGUUUGGGGAGUCUUCAUCCUUUGGUAAUUCUAUGUUCAUGAAACGGUCAGCAGAUAAUCGGCAGUCUCAAGUCAAGUGUCCACCAGUUAAAGAAUUUUGCAUAGAGAAACAGUUUAAUUACAAUCAUGGUGGAGCCACAACUGAGAAGAAAUUUAUUGAACAUAUACCUGCCAAAGUAAUUGACUAUGCUCACACCUCUCGUUCAGCGAUUCAGGAUCAUUUGACUCCAGUGCAGUGCUUUGAUUAUGGACAUGGUAAUUUGAAACCAUUGGUGCCCGACCAUGAGGUGCAUCCGAAGAAAGAUUUCAGAAACUGGGAGGAGAGUGAACAGAAUUUGAAAGAGUACACAGAAAAGAUAAAGAGAUACGAAUAUUAUGCGGAUAAAACAGACUCUAGGAGAUCUAGAAAUUAUAAUAAGAGAAGGAACAGUGAGGAAUCGUUUGAUGAAAGAAAACCUGACAGGGAGCGUAGAGAGAAGGAGGACCACAAAGGGAAGGAAAAAGAGGAUAGGUCGUUUGAUCGUAUGUCUGACAAAGAUCAAGAUGUUCGAUAUGACAAAAAUAGCAAUAAAGAAAGAACACGAGAAAAAUGUGACACUUCUCAAAAGGAACCGAUUAAAGAGAAUGACAAAGAUGAGGACAGAUCAAAAGGAAAUAAAAACUGGCAGGAGAAUGCGAACAAGAACGUCAUAGAUACAAAGCCAUCAGAUACCAGUGUUACAGAUUCUCAGCAUAAUGUAUUGGAACCUGCACAAAAGACCUUGGAACUGGCAAAGACACCAAACUGUACAAUGGUGGAUGAUCUGCUGUGUCCUCCAGGUCGCCAGAACAGACCACCAAAAAUAGCCAUUAUUUUGAGAGGUCCACCAGGCAGUGGAAAGUCAUUCGUGGCAAAACUUAUUAAGGAUAAAGAAGUUGAACAAGGUGGUUCUGCUCCAAGGAUUUUAAGUCUUGAUGAUUAUUUCCUGGUUGAAAAGGAGAUAGAAACCACAGAUGAUAAUGGGAAGAAAAUCACAGUUAAGGAUAUGGUUUACGAAUAUGAGGAAGCAAUGGAGCAAAGUUAUAUCACCUCUCUGGUUAAAGCAUUUAAAAAGAAUAUCACUGAUGGUUUCUUUAACUUCAUAAUAUUAGACUGCAUCAAUGAAAAAAUAUCCGAUUACGAAGAAAUGUGGAGUUUUGCUAAGACUAAAGGUUUUAAAGUAUAUGUCUGCGAAAUGGAAAUGGAUUUACAAAUCUGUGUAAAAAGAAAUAUUCAUAAUCGCACAGAAGACGAAAUAAAUAGGAUUAUAGAUUAUUUUGAGCCAACACCGAGUUAUCAUCAAAAGUUAGAUGUCAACUCAAUGUUGCAAGAACAAGCAAUUGAGGAAGUUCACAUGGAAGAUAGCGAAGAAACGCAGGAGAAACCCUCCCAACAACACAACGAAGAUAGUCAGGAUAGUCAAGAUGAUAUUCAAGAUGUUACUGGAGUCAGUAAGUGGGAACGUAUGGAGGCAGAGGAUAAAUUAGAUCGUUUGGAUGGACUUGCGAAGAAGAAAAAUGAGGGAAAAGUACAAACAAUGAAAGAUUUUCUUCAGGUUCCGGAUUAUUACAACAUGGAAGAUACUUCCGGUAAAAAAAGGGUAAGGUGGGCAGAUUUAGAAGAACGAAAAGAACAAGAGAAAAUGCGAGCUGUAGGAUUCGUAGUUGGUCACACGAACUGGGAUCGUAUGAUGGAUCCCACGAAAGGAGGAAGCGCUUUAACACGCACAAAUAUUACUUAUAAUAUAUCAAGACUGCUCUUUUUGUUGAAGAGAUUACAAUUAAAUGUUAUAGAAUUAUCUUUGUGGAAAAGAUAUUCUUGUCUCGAAUGUUCUACAAAUUUUUGGAUUGUUAUUUUGACAGUAAUGUUGAACAGUUUAUUUAGAAGAAUAUAACAUUAGUGUUAUUACUAUAAUUAAUAUGUGUACAUGUUUUGAAACCAUUUCUUUGAAACGAAGUUUCUAAUCUUUGUUUUAGAAGAAAUGAUUCAGGUUUUUCUCACUAUCAUAAUGAUAGUUAUGUUUUUAUUCGACUUCAGUAAUGCAAAAAACGUGAGUAAGGUGUCUACAACUUUUCGGGAGACGAUAUACGGUUUUAAUAUACCUUUGUAUCCGUUUAACACAAAGCAUAAAAGUCGUAUUGUCUUGUGUAAAACAUUGUAAUUAUUGUAUAUAACAUACAUUUAAUGAAAUUGUUCCAUUAUACAUUUUUAUAUGUAGUUGUGCAUAAUGUAUUAGAUAGAUUUACAGCUUAAGUAUACACUGCCUGUUGAGGGUUCUGUUAUUAACAAAUUAAAGUAUAUUCAUCAUUCAGUUCAAAAGAACAAUUAUUGUAUGAUUACAAUAAGAAAAAUAAAUUGUAGAAAA